rnacentral:rRNA from 1 species
UACGUAGGGGGCUAGCGUUGUCCGGAUUUAUUGGGCGUAAAGAGCGUGUAGGCGGCCAGGUAGGUCUGCUGUGAAAACUCGAGGCUCAACCUCGAGACGUCGGCGGAAACCAUCUGGCUAGAGUCCGGAAGAGGAGAGUGGAAUUCCUGGUGUAGCGGUGAAAUGCGCAGAUAUCAGGAAGAACACCCGUGGCGAAGGCGGCUCUCUGGGACGGUACUGACGCUGAGACGCGAAAGCUAGGGUAGCAAACGGG